rnacentral:rRNA from 1 species
GACGUAGGGGGCAAGCGUUGUUCGGAAUUAUUGGGCGUAAAGCGCUCGUAGGCGGGACAGGAAGUUCGUGUUGAAAGACCUCGGCUCAACUGAGGGACCGGCUCGAAUACUCUUGUUCUUGAGGCAAUCAGAGGGUGAUGGAAUUCCCGGUGUAGCGGUGAAAUGCGUAGAUAUCGGAAGGAACACCUGUGGCGAAAGCGGCUCACUGGACCAUUACUGACGCUGAGGCACGAAAGCUAGGGGAGCAAACAGG